UACAGAGGUCCCGAGCGUUGUUCGGAUUCACUGGGCGUAAAGGGUGCGUAGGUGGCUUUGCAAGUCUGAUGUGAAAUCUCCAGGCCCAACCUGGAAACUGCAUUAGAAACUGUGAGGCUGGAGGCUUGGAGGGGGAACUGGAAUGCUCGGUGUAGCAGUGAAAUGCGUAGAGAUCGAGCGGAACACCAGUGGCGAAGGCGAGUUCCUGGACAAGUCCUGACACUGAGGCACGAAAGCCAGGGGAGCAAACGGG
rnacentral:rRNA from 1 species